UACGAAGGGGGCUAGCGUUGUUCGGAUUUACUGGGCGUAAAGCGCACGUAGGCGGAUCGUUAAGUCGGGGGUGAAAUCCUGGAGCUCAACUCCAGAACUGCCUUUGAUACUGCAAGUCUCGAGUCCGAUAGAGGUGAGUGGAAUUCCUAGUGUAGAGGUGAAAUUCGUAGAUAUUAGGAAGAACACCAGUGGCGAAGGCGGCUCACUGGAUCGGUACUGACGCUGAGGUGCGAAAGCGUGGGGAGCAAACAGG
rnacentral:rRNA from 1 species